CAAAACACGAUAUAGCACACUUGCUGAAUAGGGUACUAACAUUCAGAUCCGCAAUUGCUGGGGAACCCUGGAUGCAGCGAGAAUUCAGAGUGCCCUUCCUCGCAAACUGGCAAUCCUACGUGAUGUGUCCCUCCGUAGGUGAGGGAUCCAAAGUCGCUGCAAGGAGGU